AUACGUAGGGGGCGAGCGUUGUCCGGAAUGAUUGGGCGUAAAGGGCGCGUAGGCGGCCCGGUAAGUCUGGAGUGAAAGUCCUGUUUUUAAGAUGGGGAUUGCUUUGGAUACUGUCGGGCUUGAGUGCAGGAGAGGUAAGUGGAAUUCCCAGUGUAGCGGAAAUGCGUAGAGAUUGGGAGGAACACCAGUGGCGAAGGCGACUUACUGGACUGUAACUGACGCUGAGGCGCGAAAGUGUGGGGAGCAAACAGGGUUAGAUACCCUGGUAGUCCACACUGUAAACGAUGAAUGCUAGGUGUAGGGGGUAUCGACCCCUUCUGUGCCGCAGUCAACACAAUAAGCAUUCCGCCUGGGGAGUACGGCCGCAAGGUUGAAACUCAAAGGAAUUGACGGGG
rnacentral:rRNA from 1 species